rnacentral:rRNA from 1 species
UACGAAGGGGGCUAGCGUUGUUCGGAAUGACUGGGCGUAAAGCGUACGUAGGCGGAUUGGUAAGUGAGGGGUGAAAUCCCGAGGCUCAACCUCGGAACUGCCUUUCAUACUGGCAAUCUUGAGUCCGGGAGAGGUGAGUGGAACUCCUAGUGUAGAGGUGAAAUUCGUAGAUAUUAGGAAGAACACCAGUGGCGAAGGCGGCUCACUGGCCCGGAACUGACGCUGAGGUACGAAAGCGUGGGGAGCAAACCGG